AGAGUUUGAUCCUGGCUCAGAGUGAACGCUGGCGGCAGGCCUAACACAUGCAAGUCGAACGGCAGCACAGCAGUAGCAAUACUGUGGGUGGCGAGUGGCGGACGGGUGAGGAAUGCGUCGGAAUCUGCCUAUUUGUGGGGGAUAACGUAGGGAAACUUACGCUAAUACCGCAUACGACCUACGGGUGAAAGUGGGGGACCUUCGGGCCUCACGCAGAUAGAUGAGCCGACGCCGGAUUAGCUAGUUGGCGGGGUAAAGGCCCACCAAGGCGACGAUCCGUAGCUGGUCUGAGAGGAUGAUCAGCCACACUGGGACUGAGACACGGCCCAGACUCCUACGGGAGGCAGCAGUGGGGAAUAUUGGACAAUGGGCGCAAGCCUGAUCCAGCCAUGCCGCGUGUGUGAAGAAGGCCUUCGGGUUGUAAAGCACUUUUGUCCGGAAAGAAAUCCUUUCGAUUAAUACUCGGGAGGGAUGACGGUACCGA
rnacentral:rRNA from 1 species